AUGAUCUUGAUCCUGGUGAUCCUCAUUCCGGUGCUGGUGAGUUCCGUGGGCAUCGAUGGACACUACGAGAUGCUGGGCACCUGCCGCAUGGUCUGUGAUCCCUACCUGGGCAAGACCAGCACCACGACCAGCGCCAGCGGCAUCCGGAGCGACGGCGCCGAAAGCUUCAGUAGCACCAGUAGCGACCACAGCGGACUGCCCCCGCCAUCCACCCUCGUCCAGGGGCCCCAGGGCAAGCCAGGGCGGCCGGGCAAGCCGGGCCCUCCGGGGUCCCCGGGAGAGCCGGGGCCCCCGGGCCCCCGGGGUCCCCCGGGGGAGAGGGGAGAUCCUGGGAAAACCGGUCCUCCUGGCCUGCCCGGGCCGGGGCUGAGCACGGGGGCCAUCAGUGCGGCCACCUAUACCAUGGUGCCCCGCGUGGCCUUUUACGCCGGCCUCAAGAACCCGCACGAGGGCUACGAGAUACUCAAGUUCGACGAUGUCGUAACCAACUUGGGAAACAACUACGAUGCCGCUACGGGCAAGUUCACCUGCAACAUCCCAGGCACCUAUUUCUUCACCUACCACGUCCUGAUGCGCGGCGGCGACGGGACCAGCAUGUGGGCAGAUCUAUGCAAGAACGGGCAGGUGCGGGCCAGUGCCAUUGCACAGGAUGCUGAUCAAAACUAUGACUAUGCUAGCAACAGUGUUAUCCUACACCUGGAUGCCGGGGAUGAAGUUUUCAUCAAGCUUGAUGGAGGCAAAGCCCAUGGAGGCAACAACAACAAAUACAGUACCUUUUCAGGUUUCAUAAUCUACUCAGACUGAGGCUGGAAAGAAGCCUACUGACUUCCAGCCCCCUGGAUUUCUCCAUGUGGCAAAUUUGGCUGCUGAAUCCAUUAAUACUAAUGUCUUUGCAUACAGCCAGUCUCCCUCCAUGGGUUAUAUGAAAGCAGAGUUGGAUCACUUUGUUUUUUCCUCUAGUGGGCACUGGGAUGGCCAAAUGAUGAUUCAAUCACCAUCCCCAUUUAUUUUACCUUCCAUUGUAUCAUGAACCACUAAGCCUUUCAACAGUAUUAAUACGGAGGAUGAAGAGAAAGAGAGCUAAGGAGCCAGGAAUGGAUGGGUCUAGGGAGAACAGGAUGCUUCUGGGUCCUCAUCAAGUCUCUGGCCAUUAAGAUUGGAAAGAUCAGAAGAAUGACA